rnacentral:rRNA from 1 species
AGCGAACGCUGGCGGCAUGCCUAACACAUGCAAGUCGAACGAGACCUUCGGGUCUAGUGGCGCACGGGUGCGUAACGCGUGGGAACCUGCCCUUAGGUUCGGAAUAACUCCCCGAAAGGGGUGCUAAUACCGGAUAAUGUCUUCGGACCAAAGAUUUAUCGCCUUUGGAUGGGCCCGCGUUGGAUUAGCUAGUUGGUAGGGUAAAAGCCUACCAAGGCGACGAUCCAUAGCUGGUCUGAGAGGAUGAUCAGCCACACUGGGACUGAGACACGGCCCAGACUCCUACGGGAGGAAGCAGUGGGGAAUAUUGGACAAUGGGCGAAAGCCUGAUCCAGCAAUGCCGCGUGAGUGAUGAAGGCCUUAGGGUUGUAAAGCUCUUUUACCCGGGAUGAUAAUGACAGUACCGGGAGAAUAAGCUCCGGCUAACUACGUG